CAGAGAAUAGUUUAAAUAAAAUAUUAAUUUUGGAGAUUAAUGAUAAAAAAUUAUUUUUUUCUCUGA
rnacentral:tRNA from 1 species